rnacentral:rRNA from 1 species
GACGAACGCUGGCGGCGUGCUUAACACAUGCAAGUCGAACGGUAAGGCCCUUCGGGGUACACGAGUGGCGAACGGGUGAGUAACACGUGGGUGAUCUGCCCUGCACUUCGGGAUAAGCCUGGGAAACUGGGUCUAAUACCGGAUAGGACUCCGGACUGCAUGGUCUGGGGUGGAAAGCUUUUGCGGUGUGGGAUGGGCCCGCGGCCUAUCAGCUUGUUGGUGGGGUGAUGGCCUACCAAGGCGACGACGGGUAGCCGGCCUGAGAGGGUGACCGGCCACACUGGGACUGAGGUACGGCCCAGAGUGCUACGGGAGGCAGCAGUGGGGAAUAUUGCACAAUGGGCGCAAGCCUGAUGCAGCGACGCCGCGUGAGGGAUGACGGCCUUCGGGUUGUAAACCUCUUUCAGCAUCGACGAAGCGAAAGUGACGGUAGGUGCAGAAGAAGGACCGGCCAACUACGUGCCAGCCGCCGCGGUAA